GUUGCAAGAUGGCGAUUUGGUGAAUGUUAUUGGUUAGUAGAAAGUUUCUAAAUAGUAAUGGAAAUGUUGAGCUGUAGUAAAUGUCUUGUCAAUUAUGAAGUAGUGCUAUUUAGUGAAAAUUUUGUGUUCCAUGGAUAGAUAAAGUGAGAAAACUCUAUAGGUGUGUGUGUUUGAAAAAUCCAGAUGAAAAUUCUCUGUACAAUCGUCGACUAGCUUGAAUCUGAUUUGCUCAUAAUGACGUUUUUCCAUUUAUCACCGUUUAAUUCAAUAUAAUGAACUCAUCGGUUAGUUCCAAGCGUUUCUACGAAUGAUAUCAAUUUAGUGUUUCAAAAAACUAGGGAGUUCUAGUUCGGUUUGUGCUAUUGAGUUUCAAAUGAGAGUGAGAGUUGUAUCAAUCAAUUUACCAUCAAAAGAGACAACGUCUGAGAGAAAAUUAUUUUUGUUCAAGUUUUGCCAACCUACGAUCUAAUUAACCAUUAAUUAUUGAUCCGCCGUUGCGAAAUUGCCUAAAUCAACUAGAAUAAUCUGAAAUAUUGUGUGUGAUAGCUUCAAUUGAUUUUGGCGUAACAUACAUGAUUUGGGUAACUGAAUACCCUCUGUGUGAAUGGUACUAUUGAUCAUUGUUUCACACAUUUGAGCCCGGCAACUAAGUAAUCACCUAUUGCUUAACGUUCUCGUUUAUUACUGCAUUAUACAUUUUUUCGGUCAACUAAAUAGUUAUCCCCUGAGUAAACGGUUCUGUGAACAGUGUAGGUGGUUAUUGUGUAACACUGGGCCCGGCACCUCCUGUUUGACCGGUAUCUUUUAUUACUGUGUUGUCAUCGAAAUAGUUGUCAUCGGUGUGAACGGUAUCAUAGUUCGCUGUUUAACACAUUUUUGUCGGGCAACUAAAAAAUCGGCGAGUUUGUAAACGGCGCCAUCUAAAUGUGUGCUGCACAAAGGAUGCGUUUACGUGUGAAACGGUAAUGUUGCGCGACAGUGGGUACAGUGAGGAGCAGGGGGGCUCAUGCGGCGGAGGGGCCCUGAAACUCCCUCCGAUGGCAGCCGACGACCUCCGGGAGGCUUCCCUCGGCGAGGAUCCUCCUUCGAACCGCGACUCGCGGGUGACGGGACCCUCGUGCCUCGCGCUGCGUCAUGCUGUUUCCGGGUUGCAUCGGCUGGACGACUUCAAUCGCGAGAAAAUCGGCUCAGGAUUCUUCUCUGAGGUCUUCAAGGUUACUCACCGAGUGACAGGGCAAGUGAUGGUGUUGAAGAUGAACCUCCUGCGCUCCAAUCGACCCAACAUGCUCAAAGAGGUCCAGCUCAUGAACCAGCUCUGUCACGCCAAUGUACUGGGGUUUAUGGGUGCUUGUGUCCAUGAGGGUCAACUACAUGCAUUGACUGAGUAUAUCAAUGGAGGGAGUUUGGAGCAGUUGAUUCAGAUGACGUCGGUUGAACUGAGCUACAGGGUGCGCGAGAAGCUGGCACUGGACAUAGCACGGGGCAUGGAGUACCUCCAUUCCAGGGACGUCUUCCACAGGGACCUCACUUCCAAGAAUGUACUGAUCAAAAAGAAUGAAGUGACCGGUGAGCUAACAGCUGUAGUUGGCGAUUUCGGGUUGGCUGCUAAAAUACCCAGGUCGGGUGGCUACCGUCUGCACACCGUCGGCUCCCCGUACUGGAUGUCGCCCGAAUGUCUGAAGGGCGAGUGGUACGACAACAGCUCAGACAUCUUCAGCUACGGCAUCAUCCUGUGCGAGCUGAUCGCGCGAUGCGAGGCUGACCCUGAUGUCUUACCGAGAACUGAGAACUUUGGCCUCGACUACCUCGCUUUUGUCGAACUGUGUUCGGAUCCGCCCGCUGAUUUCCUCAAGCUUGCCUUUUCUUGCUGCAAUUACGAACCAAAGAGCCGUCCCUCGUUCGCCGACAUCGUUCGACUGCUGGAGCGGUCACUGGAGCAACCAGUGGUGGCCACCCCCAGCCCUGUCACACUCGGCCACUGCAAGUCGCCGGGCAUAGGUGCACGUACACUGGUGGGUAGCCCCAGUCCUGUCACACUCGGCCACUGCAAAUCGCCUGGCAUAGGUGCACGCAGCGAGGAGGUGCUACCCACCACAGAGUCGCAGCAACCGCCAUCUACCAGUCGAAAAUUAAUCCACCGUCGCUCGCUGUCAGAAGACGUGGGCCUGCUUGUCUUCCCGCCACACACGGCGCCCAGCGACAAGGCUCGCUGCCACUUCCUCAGCGUCGCAUCGCCGCUGAAGCAUGUCGGCGAGGAGAUGGCCCGCGGCGAUCCUCACUACAAGCCAUCCUCGUCGAAGGCCAACCCGUUCACGGCACUCGGCCAGUGCAAGGGUGUCAAGAUCCUCGCCUCGACCAACUCAACCGACCUGUUCUCGUCCUGCUUCGAGUUGCCCUCACCGUCGCCGUUCCGGUCGGCCGAGGAGAAGUCGCUCAACCCGUUCGAGUCGUCGUUUGAAGGCAAAACUAAACUGGACCUACCUUGCAGCCAUAGUCAUCAACAUAGAACGGGGGAUAACUCCCUCAAAAAUGCAGACACAAGGGUGGUUCCUUGUAGGAAAUGUUGUUCUGAAGGUACUGAACUCCCUAAAACAGCAGACCAUGUCCACAUCUGUACUCACCACCAACCGAAAUGUUGUCCUGAAAGUUCAGAUCUUCUUAAAACAACAGAUCAUAUCCACUCAUGCAAUCGCCACCAACAGAAAUGUUGUCCUGAUGGUUCAGAGCCCCUUAAAACCAACCCCAAUCUGCCCUGUAGUAGUCACCAACAGAAGUCUAGUGAUGAUAGUGCAGAAACUCAACCAAAACCAGACCCCAGUGUAAUUGUGGAGCCAGUCGUGAAACCUUCGCACAUUCUCAAAUACAACAAUCAAAAUAGGUGUAAACAAAGACAAUGUGAAACUAGUGAUAGUAAUGUUAGUUGUAAGGAUAGUUGUGAGGAGCGGGAUGGGGCAUCUAGUACAAUGACUAGGAAUAGCUUUACACAAGUGAGAGAGUUGAGGAAGACUGGUGGAGUUAGAGGGAGAGGGUCAACAGCUUCAGAAUCAACAAGAGGGUUGCCAACUUCAGAAUCAACAAGUGAAGGGUUGACAAGUUCGAGCUCAACAACAAGGGACCAGAGAAAGACUGGAGAUGUGUUGAGUAGGGUGGGGCCGAUCGAUUCUAGAAUGUUCUACACGUUUAGAAAGGAGUCGUCAAAGUCACCGGAAACUAUAAGUGAUGACGGGAGAAGAAUGGCAGAGUCAAGAACAGUUACAACAGCAUCAAAAAUAUCCCCUAUGGAAUCCAUAAAUGAUGAUGGAAGAAGGGGGAUGGUAACAUCAACAGAAUCAAAAAUAUCUUCAAUGGAAACAUGUCCAACAGAAUCAAAAAUCCCGAAUGAAUCAAGGGCUUCAAGGAAGAGUGAUGGAGUGGAUGCUGCAAAAGUGAGAGUGUCAUCGUCGAAUGAGGAUGCAAGGUUUGAGAGGACACAUAGUGAACCUUUGGAAUCAUCUAGUGGCUCACCUUCAACAGUUGUUUCAAAACAAUCAGCAGAUGGAGAUGUGGAAGAUGACAAGGAUGUGAGACUGAGUGCAGGUGGCAGUGCUGUGGCUGGUGGCUCAUUUCGUGUGGAGCCGCCAAGGUACUACACCGGCCUCAAGACAAAACCCAUGUCGCUUCCAUCCUCACCAACGUUUUCCAGAAGGAGAAGCACAAUGACAGUCCUGGCCACCGAUCUCUUCACAAGGUUCACCAAGUCACAUCUGUCCAAGUCAUCUGGCGGCUAUGAUGAGUCACUUAGGUUCCUGGGAGCCACAUCAUCACCUCUGCACUACACCGUCCACACAGACCCGCAGAAACGGAUUCCGUCCCUGUUUGCUCACCCGCUGUUCAACAAACCCCAUGGACACCAUCUCCACCACCACCCGGCCGCUUUGAUGAUGGUAGAUGAUGGCAAAUGUGCGCAGUCGGCGUUUCUGCCGCCUCUGCGCACGUGUUCGUCGAGCUCGAAUAUUGGCGCAACUCACCUGGAUGAUCUGCCGACCUCUCCACCAGGCGGCCUCGUGCUUCCGGGCGCUUUCUUCCACCCGGGCCCCGUGGUGCCGGCCGGACAGGGCUUGAGGCGGCGCGGCUCCUGCGAAUCGGGCUUCUUCAGCAAUCUGGGCGAGGAUUUUUGUCUUCCAGGUGUAGAAACAGUGACGGCCUCCUCAGUAACACUCUCCUCGUCGUCGGCCACCUCCUCUCUGUUCCUCGACUCGGGCGCCACUGUCUCCUGCAGCCUGGAGGACAUAGCCACGCCCCUGCGCGGCUGUGGUGGAGGGGGAAUGCUGCACUGUGGUGGCGGUGCGGUGGGAGGGGGAAUGCUGCACUGCGGUGGGGGCGGCGGUGCGGUGGGAGGGGGAGGCAAGCGAUCGUCGUCUGUCUACACGGACAGCAGUGAGGAUGUCAGCAGUCUUGGCGGAAGUGACUUGGCGGCCGCUUGGGAUGAUCGUGCCGCUUCCUUGCAGGCAGCUCCACAGCAAAUCAGCAAAAUCGUCGAGUACUUUGAGCGCAAACAGUCGAAUGUUGCCCUGUCAUCGAGCCGGUGGGACCAUGUGGACCCCAUCUCCUCCUCUUCGUCACACGUGUUCAGCGCCUAUCCACAGCGCCAGUACCACCAACUCAACCAUCGCGAGUACUACCAACUGCGCCGCUGCUAUCUGCAACAGGAGGCCACCAGGAGCAGCAACCUGCUACCAGGCGCCGAUAGGAGCAGCAGCCUGGUACCGACACCAGCAGGUCUCGCAAAUGCCGGCUUUGUGACGUCACACGCGCCGGCGCACAAACGCGGCAUCAAUCAGCGGCUGAUGAUCUGCGAGGGGGCCGUCAGAUCCAAGCUGCCGAUCUUUGAUAAGAAAAUGACUGAUUGAUGGAUGUGGAGUGCAGAUAGAGGCAAGGAUUGAGGGGUGAGAUCAUUGAUUAGUCAAAUUAUUGAUGUUUCCAUAUUUCUCUUCUAAAAGAACUUUAAAAUUAAGAAACCACAUUUCAUAGUAUGUACUAACAGCAAUUUGAUUGGGAAAUGGCUGAUAGAUUGAUAUCCAAUACAAAUAGAAGGAAUGAUAAAGGCUCAACUCACACUUACGCGACUCAGGUCGAGAUGAGACUCGACUCUAAUCGAGAGCAUGUGUUUUCAAAUGGUGACACUCAGACCAGUCGAUUCUAGUCUUCGCGACGUCAACAUUUGAAAAUACAUGCUCUCGACUAGAGUCGAGUCUCUUCUCGACCUGAGUCGCGUAAGUGUGAGUUGAGCCUAAGAGACCAUUUUUCAUAGGAGCAAUUUGAUUAGGAAAUGGCUGAUAGAGUGAUGUCCAAUACAACUAGAAGGAAUGAUUAAGAGGUGAAGUGAUUUUUCUCCAUUCGUAUUGAUUUUUACAUUUGUCUACCGUAAGUUUAAAAAUCAAAGAUUGUCAAACAAUUUUCAUCUAUUCUUAUAGUGCCCCUGUUUUGUGACCAAAAAAUGGUGGAUUGAUGGCUGUUGAAUGAAGCUAUGAGAAAAUAAUUGUUGAGUGUGAUAAUCGAUGAUUCAAAUUCUAAUUUCUAUAUUUUAUGUCUACAAAAAGGAAAAAACUCGAAGAUUGUCAAACCAUUUUGAAUAUAAUCUACUAAUAGUGAUUUGGUUAGAAUAUUGCUGAAUUAUAAAUGUUGAAGGCAGCUAGAAGGAAUGGUUGUCAGGGUGAGAUGAGUGAUUGGUUGAGUUCAAGUUAUGUUGUGGUAUUCUUAUAAAAUAGAAAUUUAAUCAAUGGGUCACAUAGAAAGGAAUAUCUUCUAAAUUGUUAGCUAGUCAUUCAGUAUUGGAAUUAAUUGUAUGGUAUAUAAAUGGAAGAACUUGAAGAUUGUAGGAAUCACUCGUAGUAAAAAGUAAAUUCGUAUGGCUUUUGUUGGUGGGGAGUCCCUUGCGGGAAGGUCCCACCGCCCGAAUAUAUAAUUGAAGCCGUCAAUGGGCCUCAUUCGUAGUGUCCCAGUUUGAUGAAAAAACGGAAAAUCCAUGUCAAAUUCGGAUGAAUUGCAAGUAAUGUUACCUUGCUUGAUGAGAGACGUGGUAUUUGAUGCAUUUACACAAAAUGAAAUGAACAUUGUCGAACCAUUUUCAGUAAUUCCUAAUGAGUUGGAAAACGAAUAGAAUGAACUGCUUCACUAAUAUCUAAAGAUAAUAUAAUAAAUGAAUAACAAAUACAAUAAUAAUUGAAUUUGUGGUUUCAAUUAAUUGUUUAUGUUUGACAAUUUCAAGCUCUUUUAUAUCUAUGAUUGAUUCAUUAAAUUGGUGUCAAUUUGAACCAAUUCAAUCUCUUGUUUUGUAGACAGCUAUAUGUUGUGGUUUUGUGAGACUUACGUUUUGUUGAUAAAAUAGAAGUUUGAUUAAUUGAAUCUUUUCUAAUUAAUGAUUUUAAUAAGAUUGAUGCAGCAGCUACACAAUCAAGAUCUUUACAUUAUGAUUACAUACUUGAGUCAAGUAAGUCUUGGGAAGCUAUGAACAGAACUUGAGGAUUGCAAUACCCGAGUUAGACUUGAGAAAGCCGUAUAUACUUUGGGUCGAGUAGUUUCCGUCAGAUAAGUUCUCUAACAAACUAUUUACAAUAAACGGGUAUCUAUUCUAUUUAUUUUCACUAUUUUAUUUGUUAUUUCCCUAUUUAUUUACUAAAAAUAAGAGUUUUUAAUGAACAAAUAUAGAGAAUCUAUGCGGGUUACAAUCCUAAUUUUGAAGCAUUUAAGCUUCAACCCCUACAUUUUUGAAGCUUGGAGGUUGUAAACCGUCUUCUAUAAACUGAAUUGAAUCCUAUUAAGAUCUUGUUUUCCCGAAUCAAUUGAUUCAUGAUGAUAUUAUUAGUUCGUUUACUCAGUUCCUAUUAUUUUCUUCGGUCAAAAAUGUUUUGAAAGGUUUCCUUAACAAUGGAACUUUUUUAAAAGUUCAGUCUCUAUCAUUUUGUUAUUUUGCUUUUGUCUCAAACUAUUCGUUUGAUUAAAAUGCUUUAUAAUAAUAUUAACUUGGAAUGUGAUCAAAUUUAGCAUAUUAAUGAGAGAUAUGUUCCGUUUGAAAAAACAUGGAAAGUAAUAACGAUUUUAUUUCUAAUCUAUUGUCAAUCAAUUACAGAAAAAGUGAUCAAAUCCGGUGUAUAUUGAUCGGGAAAAACUCUGUUCAAAAAUGUAUUUAUCCGAGCAACAACUAAGAACACUGAAAUUAAUAUGGGGCUUUAGUGGUUGUAAUUAUCAAUUUCAAAAACGAAUGCUAAUAAAUUGAGAUUUAGAAAUAGAUGAAGUUUGAAUAUUCAGGGAGAUGAUAAGUAAUAGCAUUGUAAUUUUGAUAGAUGAAUCGUGAAUGUUGUGUUUUAAUGUAAGAUGAUGCUCAAGAUAUUGAUGUGAAAUUGCCGAUUUUGCUCGGAUUACGAGAACGUGGUAAAGUCCAAUAGAUAAUUAUUAUUAAAAUUGAAGUUAGAUAUGUAUGAAUGAGAAAUAAGAAUAGUUUUUUUGGAAGAGGGAUUGAAUUAAUAAUUAUUUUAAUCCCUUACUCACGAGUUGUAUACUAGUUAAUCAAAAUUAGAAGAUGCCUCAAGGAACUUUUAAUAUUUUUGUCUUUAAUAAUUAUAGUAUUUAUGAGAAAAACGUUCGUAUUUUUCGAAAAAUAAUUCAACAUUUAUUCUAUUAGAAAACUUAACUUCAAUGUUCAUGCUCCUUUGUUGACUGUUAAUAAGCUCAAUAAAUAUUUGCAAUCGUUAGCAAUAUCCUAAAAAUAUUUCAGGGAAAUUAUUGUGUCUAUGAUUACUGAAAGCAAUGAAUUGUAUUCGAUUUAGGGUAAAACAAACUUCUACCACCUGCCAGAAUUUAUUUUUAAAACUGAUUUAUUGGCACUCACCUAGUGGUGCGGAGCCCACCUAAAUGCACCGUCAUAAAAGAGCACCCAUUAGGGCCUCUUACCAAAGAAUAUUGUAAAUUUUUCCAAUUUUUAGAGUCCUUCAAAAUAAAAGAUUAAAUUAGUUUGGUUGUAAUGUUUAAUAAUACAUGUCCCUCUUUUUGAAUAACUCUUCUGGUCUAGUAUUAACAUUGUUUUAUAAUUAUGUAAUAUGAAAUCUCUAUUUCCUAGCUCUUCCUUCAUGGUAUAUAAUAUUUCAAGUUACCUAAUUGUUUCUAAGAAACUGAAGUAUACCAAUUGAUGUAUAAAUUUAUAAAACUUCAACAUUUUCAAAUCCAUGUGGUAUUCAAAUCAAUCCUUGAUUCAUUAUUUUUUCAUAAUUUUCAUUUUUCUCUCAUCCUUACUAGUAAACAUUCAUAAUAACACCCUUCCCUCAAAAAUUAUGAAUCCCUUGAACUCAUUCAUAAAAUCUCUGCUGUUGCAUCUGAACAAUCUAGAUUUGAAUUCAACCAAAUGCAAGAUUGAAAAUCUCCGAAAUAUUACUAUUGUAUUUACUUGAAAAUCGUGAAUUUUAGUCAUCGUGUGUAAAAGAAAAGCUUGAAAGAACAAAAAUGAAGCGAAUAAGGUUACUGUAUGUUUAGAUUAGAAAGACUGAUUGAUUAAAACAAAACUAAUAUUUUGAUAGAAAAAAGGAUAUCACAGUAUUGUUUGAAUAUUUUAAAACAAAAAUUCAAUGUGCAAUUGAUGUUAAUUUUAAUCUAAUACUAGAUGAACAAAGAUCAAAUAUACUCUAUAAUAUUACAAUUUUAUUAUGUCAAGUCAGGAAUGUAAACUUGAUAUUCGUAAUAAGAUAAUACUCAUGAGAGAUGUGUAAAGUAUUCUUAGUAUAAAUUUUUAAGUUAGCCGAUUAGCUCUUGCAAUAAAUCAUAUUGUUGGGUGAGACAUGUAAGGUAUGUGUAUAAAUGUAAAGAAUCACUUUUUCAUUACCAAAAAUCAAUAAAAUCAAUUUAUAUCCUAAGUAAUAAUUGUCUGUAAAUAUUGUUGAUGAUUAUUAUUCUGUAUAGGUAUUAUCAUACUUUUUAUUCAAAUAGAGUGUGAGAAUGUGUGUGUGUGUGUAUGUGUUUGGGAUCUAAUACUUGAGUGUAAACGGUUGUAAGUAAUCUAAUGUACGUAAGUUUUCAUAUCAUAAUUGUUUUAUGAUUAUGAUUUUCGUAUUCUGAUGUUCCUAUAUUUCGUCAAGUUUUGAUGGUAUCUUUUAUCCUUGAAUGAUUUUAAAGUGGGUUUGUUAGUGAGGUUUCAAAUAUGUUUUAUAAAACUAUGAUUUUAUUACAACGAAUACUCACAAAUAGUUGCUAGUUUUUCUCUAUGCAGCUCAAAACGAUAAUACAAGCAGUGUCUUAUUUGAUUUACUCUGAUAUUGAAGUGUAUUUUUGUGUUUCGCCUCUCAAAAGAUUAACUAAAAUUAUCGUAAGAGUAUAUAUGUUUGAACAGGAAGUAUAGGUUUACUAAAGUUUCAAAGCAUCCGUUUAUUCUAUAACUAAAAUUAUCGUAAGAGUAUACAUGUUUGAACAGGAAGUAUAGGUUUACUAAAGUUUUAAGGCAUCCGUUUAUUCUAAAGAACUCUUGAAUGGUGAGGACUUUUAUUAGAUUAUCGUGUAUUUGGCAGAAUUAAAACUACACGAUGACAUCCUCUAAAACAAUUAAGCAGUUGUUACUGUACAACAAAAAUACAAAUUCCAACGUAUUAAAUUACAGUAAAUGUUCCUGCUCCUUGAAUAAAUUUAAAGGUUUAUAGGAUGAUAUUCAUGUUGACUAAAGAAUAUUUUUUUCUAAUACAUUUCGUGUUGAAAUGCUUUAGCUUUGAAACCUCACUAUCAAUUCUUGUAUAAUUUGUUUUCCUCCUAUCCUAUCCUAUCUUAUCACGAAUAUAUUAUUUUUUCACCUUGGACGUAAUACCUCACAUUACAAAGAUUCCUAGGGAUCAUCUAUAUUAAUUAUUAUUGAUAUUCUCAAAUAUCUGAUAUUCAGAUAAAAUAAACUAUCAUUCACACACUACACCAAUUAUAUUAAAAAUAAAUAGUAUUUUCUGCGGGUUAUUGUAAGUGUAUCAGGUUUUGUCUUCCAUUCUUAAAUUGAGAUUUUAAUUACGUGCAUUUUAUUCAAUUUUUUGUUUUCUUGAAAGAAAAGUCAGGAAAUAGGACGGUAUUUAAUAAUUUUUCAGGAAAAUUGUACACAAUGACAAUGAAUGAAAAAUAGCCGAUUGGACGUAAUUCUCCAGAAAUUUUUCAAUGUAAUUCCUGGUCGAAAAUGUGUAUUUAUGUAAGUUACUGUACAUUAAGUUGAUAGAAAAAGAAUAUAAUUUCUGAAACCCUUUUAUGUUCAUAGUAAUAUAUGUUUUUUUAAAUUAACUUGGAGGUAAAUAUUAUCCUAAAUCAAAAUAUAAUUCAACCUCUACUAGAAAAGUGAAUAUUUCAUUUUUCCAGGAUGUAUCCAAGGAUGAUAUUUAAUUUCAUUCGAAUUUCUCCAAGCAUUCUACAUUCUUGAAGGUAUUGUAAUUUCUAUUCAUGUUUUCCUAUCAAUGCGUUUGUGAAAAAUGUUUGCAUUUAAUUAUAUAUAUUGAAUUUGUUAUUACUGUUGAUAAUUUAUUAGUAUUACAAUUAUAUAUAUGUUUAUUAUAUUAGAACACAAAUUCGAAGAGAUGAAUUUUCACAAGUCAAGUAUGGUUUCAAAUAAUACAAAGUAUUUCAAUCAAUUAAUUUUGUUUUUUGUUGAGUAUUAUUAUAAAUGUUAUUUUAUAAAAUUA
rnacentral:misc_RNA from 1 species